rnacentral:tRNA from 1 species
CAGAAUUUAGGAAAUUAUUUUAUUUACAAUAAUAUAUUGACUGUUCAAUUCAGUUAUUUCUGA